ACUCCUACGGGAGGCAGCAGUGGGGAAUAUUGGACAAUGGGCGAAAGCCUGAUCCAGCCAUGCCGCGUGUGUGAAGAAGGUCUUCGGAUUGUAAAGCACUUUAAGUUGGGAGGAAGGGCAUUAACCUAAUACGUUAGUGUUUUGACGUUACCGACAGAAUAAGCACCGGCUAACUUCGUGCCAGCAGCCGCGGUAAU
rnacentral:rRNA from 1 species